GGCAGCGCGGGGCAACCUGGCGGCGAGUGGCGAACGGGUGAGUAAUAUAUCGGAACGUACCCAAGAGUGGGGGAUAACGCAGCGAAAGUUGCGCUAAUACCGCAUACGAUCUAAGGAUGAAAGCAGGGGACCGCAAGGCCUUGUGCUCCUGGAGCGGCCGAUAUCUGAUUAGCUAGUUGGUGAGGUAAAGGCUCACCAAGGCGACGAUCAGUAGCUGGUCUGAGAGGACGACCAGCCACACUGGAACUGAGACACGGUCCAGACUCCUACGGGAGGCAGCAGUGGGGAAUUUUGGACAAUGGGCGCAAGCCUGAUCCAGCAAUGCCGCGUGAGUGAAGAAGGCCUUCGGGUUGUAAAGCUCUUUUGUCAGGGAAGAAACGGCUGUGGCUAAUAUCCACGGCUAAUGACGGUACCUGAAGAAUAAGCACCGGCUAACUACGUGCCAGCAGCCGCGGUAAUACGUAGGGUGCAAGCGUUAAUCGGAAUUACUGGGCGUAAAGCGUGCGCAGGCGGUUUUGUAAGUCUGACGUGAAAUCCCCGGGCUUAACCUGGGAAUUGCGUUGGAGACUGCAAGGCUAGGAUCUGGCAGAGGGGGGUAGAAUUCCACGUGUAGCAGUGAAAUGCGUAGAGAUGUGGAGGAACACCGAUGGCGAAGGCAGCCCCCUGGGUCAAGAUUGACGCUCAUGCACGAAAGCGUGUGGAGCAAACAGGAUUAGAUACCCUGGUAGUCCACGCCCUAAACGAUGUCUACUAGUUGUCGGGUCUUAAUUGA
rnacentral:rRNA from 1 species